rnacentral:misc_RNA from 1 species
AACGCACAUUGCGCCCUUUGGCAUUCCGAGGGGCAUGCCCGUUCGAGCGUCAUUAAAUCCACUCAAGCCUGGCUUGGUAUUGGGCGACGGGGACCUCCCCGCGCCCCCAUUUCGCCGGCUGGCCGUCGUUUGACUUAGCGUUGUGACACAUGUCGCUGACGACGAAGACGGACCACGCCGUUAAACCCCCUUGGACGUCCCUCGACGUCCAGUAAAGGUUGACCUCGGAUCGGGUAGGAAUACCCGCUGAACUUAA